ACUCCUACGGGAGGCAGCAGUGGGGAAUAUUGGACAAUGGGGGGAACCCGUGAUCCAGCCAUGCCGCGUGUGUGAAGAAGGCCUUAUGGUUGUAAAGCACUUUAAGCGAGGAGGAGGCUACUGAGACUAAUACUCUUGGAUAGUGGACGUUACUCGCAGAAUAAGCACCGGCUAACUCUGUGCCAGCAGCCGCGGUAAUACAGAGGGUGCGAGCGUUAAUCGGAUUUACUGGGCGUAAAGCGUGCGUAGGCGGCUUUUAAGUCGGAUGUGAAAUCCCCGAGCUUAACUUGGGAAUUGCAUUCGAUACUGGGAAGCUAGAGUAUGGGAGAGGAUGGUAGAAUUCCAGGUGUAGCGGUGAAAUGCGUAGAGAUCUGGAGGAAUACCGAUGGCGAAGGCAGCCAUCUGGCCUAAUACUGACGCUGAGGUACGAAAGCAUGGGAGCAAACAGGAUUAGAUACCCCUGGUAGCGACUGA
rnacentral:rRNA from 1 species